rnacentral:rRNA from 1 species
UACGAAGGGGGCUAGCGUUGCUCGGAAUGACUGGGCGUAAAGGGCGCGCAGGCGGUCUUCCAAGUCAGUGGUGAAAGCCCGGAGCUCAACUCCGGAACUGCCAUUGAAGCUGUUAGACUUGAGGAUGAGAGAGGUGAGUGGAAUUCCCAGUGUAGAGGUGAAAUUCGUAGAUAUUGGGAAGAACACCGGUGGCGAAGGCGGCUCACUGGCUCGUAACUGACGCUCAGGCGCGACAGCGUGGGGAUCAAACAGG